AUUGAACGCUGGCGGCAUGCUUUACACAUGCAAGUCGAGCGGCAGCGCGGGGGCAACCCUGGCGGCGAGCGGCGAACGGGUGAGUAAUGCAUCGGAACGUAUCCUCGAGUGGGGGAUAACCCAGCGAAAGUUGGGCUAAUACCGCAUGAGCUCUGAGGAGGAAAGCGGGGGACCUGCGAGGGCCUCGCGCUGGAGGAGCGGCCGAUGUCGGAUUAGCUAGUUGGUGGGGUAAAGGCUUACCAAGGCGACGAUCGGUAGCUGGUCUGAGAGGAGGAUCAGCGGCACUGGGACGGAGACACGGCCCAGGCGCCUACGGGAGGCAGCAGUGGGGAAUUUGGGACAGUGGGGGCAAACCUGAUCCAGUCAGGCCGAGUGAGUGAAGAAGGCCUUCGGGUUGUAAAGCUCGUUCGGACGGAACGAAAUGGGCGGGACUAAUACUCCUGUCUGAUGACGGUACCGGAAGAAGAAGCACCGGCUAACUACGUG
rnacentral:rRNA from 1 species